CAAUUUUAAAUGCGGGACUCACAACCCAGAUAAAGCCGUAAAACGCACACAUCAAAAGGAAUCUCUCCACGCCCCCAUUAACAAAUCACCUUUGACUACACGAAAUCUGUGACACAAACUAGGAUUAGAUACCCUAUUAUGCCCAGACAUAAACACAGGCAGCAAGCUUAACCCACCAUGCCCGCCAGAGAACUACACGCACCCUAGCGUAAAACUCAAAGGACUUGACGGUGUCUCAUACCGCCCUAGAGGAGCCUGUCCUAUAAUCGAUACUCCCCGCUACACCUCACCCCCCAUUGCAAAGCUUCAACCUAUAUACCGCCGUCGCCAGCUCACCUUACAAAAGCCAAACAGUGUGCAAAAUAGUUCCCCACUAAAAAGUCAGGUCAAGGUGUAGUUAAUUGGGGGGACAGCGAUGGGCUACAUUUUCUAGCAAAGAAGCCCCCAGCAAUAUGAAAUAAUGCCAUAAGACGGAUUUAGCAGUAAAUAGAGCAAGAGCCGCUCAAUUGAAGCUCGCCCUGAGACGCGUACACACCGCCCGUCACCCUCCUCAGAAACCAAAAAUCAAAAUAACUAAGCCCCUCCCCCAAAUCUACCAGAUGAGGCAAGUCGUAACAUGGUAAGUGUACUGGAAAGUGCACUUGGCAAAAC
rnacentral:rRNA from 1 species